rnacentral:rRNA from 1 species
AGAGAAGUAACAAAGAGCACACGGGGGAUGCCUAGGGUCUCAGAGGCGACGAAGGACGCGAUAAGCUGCGAUAAGCUGGGGGUAGAGGCACAUACUCGUUCAUCCUCAGAUUUCCGAAUGGGGCAACCCCUCGACUGGAAGAGUCGAGAAUCGACUAGCUUGACUAGCGAUGGCAAACGCAGGGAA